GCAUUUGUCUGGCAGCAGCAGCUCAUUUCAGCAGAGGUGUAUUUAACAACGGUUUGGUUACUAUGGAUGUUAACCCUGAUUCCCCAUACUACAUCAACUUGCUUGACAGCAAGUCUCAUCCUGAAGAUCACAGAGAAUAUGUGAUGUUUCAUGGCUGCUCAAAAGAGGGCGCAGAGUUGAUUAAAAGGGAACCCCAGAGACUGGGCUUGGGUGGGCUGGAGCACCACAAAGGACACAUUUGUGUGGGUAGAACCAUCAUUGGAUCUGAUAGGACAGGAUCUAGUUAGAAAACAAGUGGUUUUUCGUGGUAAGACCAUGUGUGCAUUUUAUCCUCAGACUUUUCAACUAACAUGGACUUUGAUAUUAAUCAGUGUGCUCAGUUUAGGUUACACUUUCUUGAUGGUACCAGUAGGCCUAUGUUAACUUCUUGAUUUUAUACACAAAAAAAUGUAAAUGUACUUUUCCUUUGAUAUUUAAGUGAUCAAUAUUAUGCCGGGGAUUACACUGACAAUGAUAUUCUAUUCCUGAUAACAUACAGAGGAUUCUACAGAGUUCUAUCAGCUCUGGUAUGCUGAUAGUAAUGACCAAGUGAGAGGAGCCAGCACCCCCCUCUGCUUUAAAACCCCAAAACACAGACUACUGCCUGGAAAACAACCAGUUGGUCAUCACAACACAGGAACAAUACAAUCCACAAUAUCUCAAAUCCAAAGAUUGUGUUUUGAAGACCAUGCGUGAACUACUUGUCUUUAAAAGGCAGCACUCUCUGUUGGGAUUGAUGAUGUUCCUCACAAGAACAUAUUAGCUAAAAUGAUCCAUAGGAGAGGAUAUGU